GUUUAUCAAAAACAUGUCUUUUUGAAAUUAAUAUAAAGUCUGGCCUGCCCACUGAAUUAAUUUAAAUGGCCGCAGUAUUUUAACUGUGCAAAGGUAGCAUAGUCAUUAGUCUUUUAAUUGAAGGCUGGAAUGAAUGGUUAUAUGAAAUAUUAACUGUUUCAUAAUAAUUUAUAGUAAAAUUUUAUUUUUUAGUUAAAAAGCUAAAAUUAAAUUAAAAGACGAGAAGACCCUAUAAAUCUUUAUAUUUUAUUGGGGUGAUAUUAAAAUUUAUUUAACUUUUAAUUAUUAAUUUACAUUAAUUUAUGAAUUUUUGAUCCAUAUAUAAUGAUUAAAAAAUUAAGUUACUUUAGGGAUAACAGCGUAAUUUUUUUAGAGAGUUCUUAUUGAUAAAAAAGAUUGCGACCUCGAUGU
rnacentral:rRNA from 1 species